UACAGAGGUCCCAAGCGUUGUUCGGAUUCAUUGGGCGUAAAGGGUGCGUAGGUGGCGCCGUAAGUGGGGUGUGAAAUUUCGGAGCUUAACUCCGAAACUGCAUUCCAUACUGCGGUGCUUGAGGACUGGAGAGGAGACUGGAAUUCAUGGUGUAGCAGUGAAAUGCGUAGAGAUCAUGAGGAAGACCAGUGGCGAAGGCGGGUCUCUGGACAGUUCCUGACGCUGAGGCACGAAGGCCAGGGGAGCAAACGGG
rnacentral:rRNA from 1 species